rnacentral:other from 2 species
CAUUAGCUGCGGGGUUCGUGAUACAGCUUUAUCCCAGAGGCCUAUGCGUUUCGCAUACGGGAACUGCCUCUGUCCAGGCCGUGGUCUGGUUAUUGUGGUGCCCACCUGGUUUACCGGGCUUCAUGCGGAUAUUUGAUUUGUACACGGCCUUCGCGGCGCCUUU